UAACAUCUUCAUUUCCGAUCACUGGGCUGCUCUUUAUCUCCUUCAUCCCAAUAACAAGCCCAAAUAAAAAAGCUAAGUAUCAAUCUAUACUUUUCUAUUUUAGAAUCGGGUCUAACGAGUGGAGUUCGAUUACUUCGUAUUGUUGCAUUUGAGCUAGUUGGGACUGUGGUGUUGUCAAUAAUAGUAGUUAUUCAACAUCUUGACUUUAUUUUAGAGACAAGAAGUUCAUUGUAAAUCCAAAGUUUUGAUGUGUCAUUAAAUUUCAGUAUUGU
rnacentral:lncRNA from 1 species